rnacentral:rRNA from 1 species
GAUGAAUGCUGGCGGCGUGCCUAACACAUGCAAGUCGAGCGGUAACAGGAGUAGUUUACUACUUGCUGACGAGCGGCGGACGGCUGAGUAACGCGUGGGAACGUGCCCCAAAGUGAGGAAUAACUGCCCGAAAGGGUAGCUAAUACCGCAUAUGAUCUUCGGAUUAAAGGAUUUAUCCGCUUUGGGAGCGGCCCGCGUCGGAUUAGGUAGUUGGUGAGGUAAUGGCUCACCAAGCCCACGAUCCGUAGCUGGUCUGAGAGGAUGAUCAGCCAGACUGGAACUGAGACACGGUCCAGACUCCUACGGGAGGCAGCAGUGAGGAAUCUUCCACAAUGGGCGAAAGCCUGAUGGAGCAACGCCGCGUGCAGGAUGAAGGCCUUCGGGUCGUAAACUGCUUUUAUAAGUGAAGAAUAUGACGGUAGCUUAUGAAUAAGCACCGGCUAACUACGUGCCAGCAGCCGCGGUA